UACGUAGGCAGCGAGCGUUGUUCGGAGUUACUGGGCGUAAAGCGUGCGUAGGCGGUUGUCUAAGUUUGGUGUGAAAUCUCCUGCUUAACUGGGAGGGUGCGCCGAAAACUGGGUGACUGGGGUGUCGGAGAGGUAAGCGGAAUUCCUGGUGUAGCGGUGAAAUGCGUAGAGAUCAGGAGGAACACCUGUGGUGUAGACAGCUUACUGGACGAUAACUGACGCUGAGGCACGAAAGCGUGGGUAGCAAACAGG
rnacentral:rRNA from 1 species